rnacentral:rRNA from 1 species
CCUACGGGUGGCAGCAGUGGGGAAUAUUGCGCAAUGGGCGAAAGCCUGACGCAGCGACGCCGCGUGAGGGAUGAAGGUCUUCGGAUCGUAAACCUCUGUCAGCAGGGAAGAACGGUCACUGUGCUAAUCAGCAGUGAAUUGACGGUACCUGCAAAGGAAGCACCGGCUAACUCCGUGCCAGCAGCCGCGGUAAUCCGGAGGGUGCGAGCGUUAAUCGGAAUUACUGGGCGUAAGGCGCUCGUCGGCGGUAUUGCAAGGCAAGGGUGAAAUCCCCGCGCUCAACGUGGGAACUGCCUUUGAAACUGGCAAAAUGGAGUGUGUGAGAGGAUAGUGGAAUUACAGGUGUAGGAGUGAAAUCUGUAGAUAUCUGGAGGAACAUCAGUGGCGAAGGCGACUAUCUGGCACAUAACUGACGCUGAGGAGCGAAAGCGUGGGUAGCAAACAGGAUUAGAUACCCGUGUAGUC